CCUACGGGUGGCAGCAGUGAGGAAUAUUGGUCAAUGGGCGAGAGCCUGAACCAGCCAAGUCGCGUGAGGGAGUACUGCUCUAUGGGUUGUAAACCUCUUUUGUCGGGGAGCAAAAGACGCCACGCGUGGCGUUCCGAGAGUACCCGAAGAAAAAGCAUCGGCUAACUCCGUGCCAGCAGCCGCGGUAAUACGGAGGAUGCGAGCGUUAUCCGGAUUUAUUGGGGUUAAAGGGUGCGCAGGCGGAAGAUCAAGUCAGCGGGAAAAUUGAGAGGCUCAACCUCUUCGAGCCGUUGAAACUGGUUUUCUUGAGUGAGGGAGAGGUAUGCGGAAUGCGUGGUGUAGCGGUGAAAUGCAUAGAUAUCACGCAGAACUCCGAUUGCGAAGGCAGCAUACCGGCGCUCAACUGACGCUCAUGCACGAAAGUGUGGGUAUCGAACAGGAUUAGAUACCCUUGUAGUC
rnacentral:rRNA from 1 species